rnacentral:rRNA from 1 species
GUGCAACAGCCGCGGUAAUACGGAGGGUGCAAGCGUUGUUCGGAAUUAUUGGGCGUAAAGCGCACGUAGGCGGAUUGGAAAGUUGGGGGUGAAAUCCCGGGGCUCAACCCCGGAACUGCCUCCAAAACUAUCAGUCUAGAGUUCGAGAGAGGUGAGUGGAACUCCGAGUGUAGAGGUGAAAUUCGUAGAUAUUCGGAAGAACACCAGUGGCGAAGGCGGCUCACUGGCUCGAUACUGACGCUGAGGUGCGAAAGUGUGGGGAGCAAACAGGAUUAGAUA